ensembl:lncRNA
CUUCUGUCUCUGGCACAGAGCAGAAUGUCUGACAUGUGAAUUGACAGUGCAGUGAAGCUCUGGUCCAGUGGAGUAGAACACCUGCAGACCCACAGGUGAAGAGAGAGGGACCAAGGGAUGAAGGCCCUGGAAGAGUAAAAACAGAGUAAAGUUUUACAGAGUAAAACAGUACAAGAAAGAAUCACAUACUGUAAUUGAUCCACCAUGGAACUCAGCAGAGGAAAUCAUCACAAGAUCCAUCACAUUGUGAGCAAAGACAUGAGAGACAUAUGAAAGAUUCUGGGUAUAAAAGCACCCAGGAGAAGGCUGGCACUCAACUCGUCACUUCCUCUUUCCCUUUCCUGCAUCCUUUUCCUGUCAGGCUGGAUAAAGAAGAUGGCAAAGAUAAAGGAGCUCCAGUCAUCUCCUUCACCUUGGACAUACAUCUUCUGGCUAUCAUCUCAGACCAUUCAGCCUUCCAUUGCAGGCCCUUCAGCUUCCUGAUGUGGACUCAUAUAGGACACUACAGUGAGCUCCAGGUUUUGGGCUUUUUCUGGAUCUUUGGAAUCUCCAGCAUGCAGACAGCCCUUUUUCACUCGUCCACACCUGGCUCUGCAGG